rnacentral:misc_RNA from 1 species
UAAAAAUCUACCGAUUUCUACCGAUUAUUCGGAGCUAAAUAUACCGAUUUUUUAUUUUACACUUUUGCAACACUGAAUACCCGUGCAUCGGUCCAUCGGCAGGAAAUUGUUAAAGUAAAGAAAAUGAGUAUUUCAUCAGAAAUACAGGCUGAGGUCAUUUCAAUAGUAUAUCAAUACAUAAAAAUGAUAGAUAAAUCCUUUGCGAAGAAUUUGCCUCGGAAAAUAAGCAAAACCCAGGAACAAGAAGUAACCCAUAUUACUAGAUAUCAUUUUAGCAUACAGAAAGUUCCAAAUUAACCAGCUGCAAAAAAUCAAGGAUGAGUUACGAUUUUUUGUAAGUAUACUGUUUAAUUUAACAUAACAUGAGUAUUACGGAUGUGGUUAUAAAAAAAAAAGUCCAUAAUAAUAAAAUUUAAUCUUGCAGAUCAAAAUGAAUUGAGGUUUUUCCUUUGUAUUUUUCUUUAACAAUUCAACUUGAGUUCGUGCGUUUUCUAAUUGUAAGUCAAUUUAUAAUAGUCAUUUGUGAUGAAGUAAUGUGGAAGAAUUAAGUUGAACUUUGCUUCACAACACGAUUGCCUUUUUUUGGUCAGGUAUUAACUAAGUCAGAUACACUCAAAUUAGUGACGGGGAACAUAAAUUUGAUAUCAAUAUAGUGCUAGCACUGCUCAUAGUAAGAUGGAGUCUUUUAUUUCAACUUCAUGCGAAACUUGAUUUUUAAAACCAAUUUAUUUUUUAUUAUUAAUUAAUACUGUAAUUUUGGAUAUUUCAGUGAAAAUUCUGCACUAAACACUUUCAAAUGGUCAGUUGAAAACAAAGAAACAGGAAUCUUCAGAUAUCGACAAAUCAGAAGAUGAAUAACCAACUGUUACAGUUAUUUUGACGUAUGACUUGAUUAAUGACUAUGAUUAAUAGAUAUUUUACUGUACUAGUACUUUAUUAAGUUACGUAUUAAGGGAAUUGUAACAAGCAGUGCAAUCAAACGAUAUAUCUAUGGAAGUGACGAAAGCAUUGAUGUAAGGCGAGAUCUGUUUCCAUGAGUUGGGAAACCUAGUGUUGCCUAACACCUACACCAAAGGUAAAUUCAACUACAAGUAAUCAAGAAUAACAAGAAGGAAUCCUCUGAUAGCCACAGUAGAGAGGACAAUGCAACAUCAAAACUCAAAAAGCAACCAAGCAACGAGUAUGGUCGACAAGGGCAAGCUGUGUUGGUGUGGCCAAGAAGAGCACAUGGCGCAAAUGUGCAACGAAGUACAGUGAUGUGCUGUCUGUGCAGACGCUGGGAAGCCAUCAUCGCAUACGAAAGGGAAUGCUGCCCGCCCAGAACUAAAGGAAGAGUGGUCGUUGGAACCUAGACCACUCCGAGAACCGAAAGCCACCAGGCUCCAUAGGACGAUAUGGCCAUGUCUUCGUGGACGGUCAUAGCCUCCUUCAGGCGAAUGUGAACCACUGUGCCAGGGCUUAAGACCUGAUACAGUCCAUGGUGCAGUAGGAGAUAGACCUGGUGGUGGCAUGUGAGCCUUAUUGGUCGGCACAGUGGUGAUUACACUAGGGAACUAGGAAACACUAACGUCGACCCCCUCACUCACGGAGCGUGACUCGGGAUACUUGGUGGUGACGUGGCGAGAGUAUGCGGUAAUCGGUCUCUACUUCUCCUGCAACUGCAAAAAUAAGCAUUGCUUACUGGAAUUGACAGUGCAAUUGAUAUAAUUUUUUUUCAAGUUUUUGAAGUCGUUCUGCUCUUUAGAUUCUUUGAAAAAGUAUGUCCAGAUUUUGUCGUUAGACAUGUUUCUGUCUUUCGGAAGGUGGUUAAAUGCUUCUCUAAGGCAGCAGUAAUCGGUAUAUAAAGUAUCUUGAUCAUAUUCAUUUGAAAUAUUUAGCACGUCGGGAAACAAGGAGAGCUCUUCCCAAAUAAAUAAAUUUUCGCCUCUUAGAGACAAUACAACAAGCUUCUUAUAUAAUGAGUUGCCGGAGAAAUAAUGUUCUUGUAAAUACUGAAUUGCUCGUUGUAAAAAUUGUUCAGCCUCGACACAGAAAAUGUUUUUCUCAUGAUCGGAAAUGUUCUUUAAUAAGGUUUUAUUUCUAUUUUCAUAAACUUUGUCAUCCAACCUGUUUUUGAGGUGGCUCAACAGUUUUGUCAUUACUCUGUCGAUUUAGACGGUACAGGUAUCACCUUCUAAAGCUAAUAUUGCUGCUUGAAACUCUUGACAUGAUAUUAUGUAUAAAGUUUACAUGCAUCGAUCGAUUAUCUUCAUUGUUAUCGAAAUGCGUUAGACUUUUCAAAACAAAUUCCAUAUAUCUUUCCGACAUUCAUUUUCCCCUUUCAACAAAAAGUAGUGCUUUAUAGCAGGCCAGCAAUUAAGCAAACGGCAAAAGCCAAAGCGGCCAAAAGAGAUAGCCAUCUCGUUGGGACAUGCCGAAGAAGGUUUUUGUACUCUACACUCGCAAACAAGAAACAUUCUUUUAGUUUUUGGGUCUUUGUAAAUGAUGAACUAAAUUCGUUGAAUGUUUUUAUUAUAAUGCUUUCAAUAUCUAUGGACAAAGCUUCGAGGGCGUAUUUUACGCAAUUGUUUAUGACAUGGCAGUAACAGUUUGCUUUAAUCAGAUGGUCGUUGGUUAUUCGUAAUUUUUGGAAUACCGAGUUCACACCGUUAUUAACAGGAGCAUUAUGCGCUCUGUAAGCAGUGAUCUGAGUCAAGUUUAAAUCAUUAUCCUCAGUCACUUCCUUGAUUUUUCGAAAUAAAUCUAGACGAUUCAAAUGGAUCUUCAUAAAAAUCUAAUAGCUUCUUAGAUAUGCCUGUUUCUGUAUUAAAAUAUUGCACAGCAUAUAAAUAGGUCUUCAUAUUUCCAACAUUAGAAGCAUCGUUUCGUCGUUUGUCGUGUACAUUCAUCAUUUCUCAAUACAACAUUCUUCAUUUCUCCGGUUUAAGAAAGCAUUCCAACAAUCAGGUUCAAUUUUUCCAAUUUUAGCUAAUCCUUUUACUCCAGGGCGUUCACGCAUUAUAUUUUCAGAUCGUGUUUUUAUAUUAAUACGCGACAUUUGCUAACCAUAUUUGAUCAUCUUUCGAUUUGUAAUGAGGUGCGUGACCUUGAGUAGAUUGACGACGAGUUCUAAGAGGGGCAUUAACGUCGGAAUCUUGAUCACUACCACUCUCAACAUUUUGCUCCUGUUCCGUAUCGGAUUCUAUAUUGUGUUCACUGCAAUGAUCAGACACAUCCGGCGAGCUCGAUUCAUCUAAAGAAUUUUCUAAUAUGUCGUAUAACAUAAACCUAAGUCUAUUUUCCCUACUGUUUUCACCAAUGUUUGUCAAAAACCUUAAAAAGACAAGAAAUAAUAAAAUUAAAUGUAAAUAAUGUUAUGGUUAAAUGCACACGUAAACUAUCUGGUGCCGUGUACCGUGUACCUCAUGUACGUAUACUCGUGUGUAUCUCGAACACCGGCUGACGCCACACUGCGAUCACGUCAGUGUGACUUGACCCCGCCUUCUCAGCUCCAGCUACUCGAAGUCGUUACCACGUAACUUACAAAAAUAAAAAUGUACGGCAUUAAAAAUAAUUGGUGGGGUAUGCUACACCCCACCACGCUCCCGCCGGGUUACGUGGAUUUACAUUUUUAUCUUUUUCGCUGAUAUUAGCACGACUUGGACCUAGUCCUGACGGUUUCGAAAGUGACAUGAUCGAUGUAAAAACGCUACGACCUGCAAAUUAAAAACAAAUAGGCUAUUUUUUUUAUCAAUUAAUUUUAGUCUAAUUGUUGAGGUUGCAAAGCUGCAUAAAUUAAACUUCAAUCGUUUCCUCGGUUCUUAUUUCUUAGUUUUCUUCCUUGUUCUUGUUUAAGUGCGGCGAAUGUUCGUUAGAUAUUAAGUGGCAGUUGCUGGGUAAUGCGUUAUAUAGCGUUUCCCACACCCUGGUAACAGCCGCGUAACAGGAGAGGUUGCAAGUACAUUUUUUUUAGAUUUGAUUAUAUGAUUAAUUAGACGUAAAAUUAUUAUCUUUUUAUUGAUUUUAUUGAAUUGUUUUAAUUAAUUGAUAAAUUUAAUGUUACAUCUUGACAUUGAUUGUAAUUUUAUUAAUAUAAAUGUACUAAUUUGUAUUAUUAUUAUUGAAUGUUUGUUUUUAUGAAUUGUAGGAAUUUUUUAAGUGUGAUUAUAUAUUGAUUAUUUUAUAUUUUUUGAUUAUUUUUUUUUAUUGAAUUGUUUAAAUUGUUUGUUAAAUUUAAUGUUAUUUGUUGUGAUCAAUUUAACUAACGUAUUGGGUUACUUGUAAUGUUAGUUCUAAGUUUUUUUAAUGCAUAAAUAAAUAAAUAAAUUUCCCGCGCCAUUGCCACGGGCCAAUGGCGCUAAAUCUCGGUCCCGCCAUUUGCGUUGACCAAUCACAGACCUGCCUGCCUCGAGAAGAGUGAGCAACCUAACGGACAUGUUUGCGAUAAGUACCAACCUGACGGACAGUCAAUGGCGGCAGAUCUCGGUCCCGGCAUUUGCGUAGUAUCAGCCUAACG